rnacentral:rRNA from 1 species
AACGCUAGCUACAGGCUUAACACAUGCAAGUCGAGGGGCAGCGCAGUGUAGCAAUACAUGGGCGGCGACCGGCGCACGGGUGCGUAACGCGUAUCCAACUUUCCCGUUACUCUCGGAUAGCCUUCCGAAAGGGAGAUUAAUACGAGAUGGUGUUCAAAUUUCGCAUGUCAUUUGAACUAAAGAUUUAUCGGUAACGGAUAGGGAUGCGUGACAUUAGGUAGAUGGCGGGGUAACGGCCCACCAUGCCCACGAUGUCUAGGGGUUCUGAGAGGAAGGUCCCCCACACUGGAACUGAGACACGGUCCAGACUCCUACGGGAGGCAGCAGUGAGGAAUAUUGGUCAAUGGCCGGAAGGCUGAACCAGCCAAGUAGCGUGAAGGAUGAAGGUUCUAUGGAUUGUAAACUUCUUUUAUACGGGAAUAAAACCACCUACGUGUAGGUGCUUGUAUGUACUAUAUGAAUAAGCAUCGGCUAACUCCGUGCCAGCAGCCGCGGUAAUACGGAGGAUGCGAGCGUUAUCCGGAUUUAUUGGGUUUAAAGGGAGCGUAGACGGGAUGUUAAGUCAGUUGUGAAAGGCUGCGGCUCAACCGCAGCACUGCAGUUGAUACUGGCGUCCUUGAGUGCGGUUGAGGUGUGUGGAAUUCGUGGUGUAGCGGUGAGAUGCUUAGAUAUCACGAAGAACUCCGAUUG